GUCUUCCACUUAUAGGUGCUUUAAAUGCAGAGGAGUUGCUUUGGUUUUAAACAGUUCUGGCUUUUAAGUUGCAUCUCAUCAGUUUUAAUCAUAGUAAUGACUCAAAAAACCUCAGUAGGUGUCUAGAACUGUGGCGGACCCUGGAGAUCCAAAGAUGAACACAAGAUUCCCCCUCCCCAAGUCUUCUUAACUGGGGGUGUGCACUUGAAGCACCGUAGCGCUGAGCAUUGAGCCCCCGGAGGUGCUGCCCCUGUGUGCUUUGAGAAUCACCUACAAGGGCCGCUCUGCCCCAGUACACUCAGCCUCAGGAGCAGAGUCCAUCGCCCUGGCGCAAGUCAUCCAUUGAUGUUAAAGCUGUCACUGCCAACUAGUGAGCCAGGCAUUAGCUAUGGACAGUGUGGGACCAGAAUGUUAUUCACUAGCUAAGACUUUCAGAAUUUUUGUCAUUUGAGGGACCGAUUCACAUCUGGAGACCAUGCUCCUUUGAGAAUAUUGAGGAACAUUGUUCUAAGAUGGUAAAUUUGAGUACUCACUGUAUGCAAGCCACUGGGCUCAUAGGACAGGGCACCCCACAGAGUCAUCUUUUCCCAUCUUCUAGAUGGGAAAAAAUACACAGGACUUCCGCCAAGAUGGAGGCAUGGGUAGAUGUGCCGUGCCUUCUCACACAACCAAGUUUGGAGACAAUUAAAUAUUAGCAACAGAAAACACAGCCAGAACACAGAAAAUUGAACUUUUUGGAAGUCCGUUAACAACGAAUUCUUCAGCCUGACCAGUAAGGGGCGAAACCAGCGGCUGGUGAAGCGGGGUUGCACAGGAGGACUCGGUCAGAUGGACUCAGGCAUGCAGAAUCCAGGUGCAGGGUUGGACCUAGUGAGCGACCGAGCGAGCGACCAGGCGAGCGACCGCGGGGGAGACAGCGGAGGAGCGGUGCUGCGUGUUGACUGUGGUAGUGCAUUUGUGCGCAGGUGGACUGGGCCCAGCGGGUCCCGUGGAAAGCGGCAGUGGAGGGCACCGCCAUUUCCCUGCUCUGACCCCACCUCCACAUACAGCGUCUACACCCAGCGACUCUGAGUGGCCCGGCCCAGGGGAACCACCUAAGGCGCUACUCCUCACCCAGCUGUGAGAAACAGCAGAGGGGGUCGCCAUUUCCCCCGCUCUGACCACGCCCCCACAUACAGCGUCACAACCCAGAGACCUGGGAGUCCAAGGCACCGCUUCUCACACUUAAAGGGCACGAACAGACCAAAAAUGGUGCAAGAAGAUCUCAAAGCCCCACAGCCUAUAGAUCUAAGCAAUGAAGAAAUAGCAAAACUCUCAGACGCACAGUUUAAAACACUGGUGAUCAGGAUCCUCACAGAACUGGUUGAUUAUAGCC